rnacentral:rRNA from 1 species
ACUCAAAUGAAUUGACGGGGGCCCGCACAAGCGGUGGAGCAUGUGGUUUAAUUCGACGCAACGCGAAGAACCUUACCAGGGUUUGACAUCCUCUGACAGCCUAUGAAAGUAGGUUUUUCAUCUUCGGAUGGACAGGGAGACAGGUGGUGCAUGGUUGUCGUCAGCUCGUGUCGUGAGAUGUUGGGUUAAGUCCCGCAACGAGCGCAACCCCUACGUUUAGUUGCUAACACGUAAAGGUGAGAACUCUAGACGAACUGCCGUUGACAAAACGGAGGAAGGUGGGGAUGACGUCAAAUCAUCAUGCCCCUUAUAUCCUGGGCUACACACGUGCUACAAUGGCCGGUACAAAGGGAAGCAAGGCCGCGAGGCGGAGCGAAUCCCAAAAAGCCGGUCUCAGUUCGGAUUGCAGGCUGCAAUUCGCCUGCAUGAAGUCGGAAUCGCUAGUAAUCGCAGGUCAGCAUACUGCGGUGAAUACGUUCCCGGGCCUUGUACACACCGCCCGU